rnacentral:rRNA from 1 species
UACAGAGGGUGCGAGCGUUAAUCGGAAUUACUGGGCGUAAAGCGUGCGUAGACGGUUAUGUAAGUCAGAUGUGAAAGCCCCGGGCUCAACCUGGGAAUUGCAUUUGAGACUGCAUAGCUAGGAUGCGGAAGAGGGAAGUGGAAUUUCCGGUGUAGCGGUGAAAUGCGUAGAUAUCGGAAGGAACAUCAGUGGCGAAAGCGACUUCCUGGUCCAGCAUCGACGUUCAGGCACGAAAGCGUGGGGAGCAAACAGG